AAAUAAAUUAUAACAAGCCCAAAUUUUAAAAUUUCGCACGUAUCGUCGUACAAAAAUCAGUACAUUCAACUAUGUUGAAAUUUGAAUCUCAAGGUGUUUAUGCAAAUCUUGAGAUACGCGGUACCCAAAUAUGUAAUAUCUCUUCCUAGAACUCAGUGGAAGCCACUCGAACUAGGCCGAAAAUUUUCAGCUCCUAUACCAAGGUUGCUGGUGACAGAAAAUGGGAAAGGAAAAGAGCUAGCCUUGGGUUUUGCAAGGUGAGAAACCCAAAUCCAAUAUCGGAUUUGCAAAAAUGACGGCGGCAAGUGGCUGGUUUCACAGUGGCAGCGAGAAGGACAGUUUUCUCCUUUCUUGCUUGUCGGUUUUCUGGCGAUUCUGAAGGCUGCAAGGCGACAGUGGUGUGGAGGACUCCCUGAGGCUAUAGUCCAAUGUCGUGAGGCUGUGGAAAAUGGAGGGUUGAGGGAGGGAGAGGAUGACAUCAACGGGGAAGGAAGAAGAAUAAGGAGAUUUUGGAUUUUUGCCUAUAGGGACCAAAUGCAACAUUUGAAAUAUAAGGAAAAUGCCCGUGAGGCC
rnacentral:lncRNA from 1 species